rnacentral:rRNA from 1 species
CGUGGGUGACCUGCCUUCGAGUGGGGGAUAACGUCCCGAAAGGGACGCUAAUACCGCAUGACAUCCUGCCUUUGGACAGGCGGAGAUCAAAGCUGGGGAUCGCAAGACCUAGCGCUUGGAGAGGGGCCCGCGCCUGAUUAGCUAGUUGGUGAGGUAACGGCUCACCAAGGCAACGAUCAGUAGCCGGCCUGAGAGGGCGGACGGCCACACUGGGACUGAGACACGGCCCAGACUCCUACGGGAGGCAGCAGUGGGGAAUUGUUCGCAAUGGGCGCAAGCCUGACGACGCAACGCCGCGUGGAGGACGAAGAUCUUCGGGUCGUAAACUCCUGUCGAGCGGGAAGAACGUUUCGUGGGUGAAUAACCCGCGGAAGUGACGGUACCGCUAAAGGAAGCCCCGGCUAACUCCGUGCCAGCAGCCGCGGUAAUACGGGGGGGGCAAGCGUUGUUCGGAAUUACUGGGCGUAAAGGGCUCGUAGGUGGCCAACUAAGUCAGACGUGAAAUCCCCAGGCUCAACUUGGGAACUGCGUCUGAUACUGGAUGGCUUGAAUUCGGGAGAGGGAUGCAGAAUUCCAGGUGUAGCGGUGAAAUGCGUAGAUAUCUGGAGGAAUACCGGUGGC